GUGCUCACUUCGGCAGCAGAUAUACUAAAAUCGGAACAAUACAGAGAUUAGCAUGACCCCUGCGCAAGGAUGACACGCAGGGUAUGGGUACUAAAACAAAAUUUC